GUCGUAACAAGGUUUCCGUAGGUGAACCUGCGGAAGGAUCAUUCACACAGUGAAUCCACUUGCUCACCUUUGUUUUUAGUGUGAACGGGUUGCGGUGACUUGCUGUCCGAGAGAGCUCCAACUUCCGGGCCUGGCAAGUCGUUGCGCGGGGCCUGGCACCGCAAUGAAACUCCCGUGCGGGGGUGGAUUGUGUGUUUCAGCCGCGUUGCGGGAUCCUCAGGUUCGCCUGGGGGGAACGCCCGGGGGUAGCUUUCCACUUCUUUCUGGGAGCCUGUCUCUCUGGCGGUCGUGUUGGCUUCUUCCGCCCAGCUUCCGUUUCUCGGAAGCGCCCAAUCACUUUCCACUUGCGUGUUGUGCUUCUUAGGCCUGUUGGCGGUGACCGCCAAUCGGUAAAUGCUUCUUUACAACUUUCAGCGACGGAUGUCUCGGCUCAAACAACGAUGAAGGGCGCAGCGAAGUGUGAUAAGCAUUGCGACUUGCAGAAUUCCGUGAACCAACAGGAACUUGAACGUAUACUGCGCUUUCGGGAUACCCCUGAAAGCAUGCCUGCUUCAGUGUCUACUUCGGUUUCAUGCUGCUGACGAGCUUGUAUCUCCUCGGCUGAGGUGCAGCUCGCUGUGUCAGCUUGCUCGUGUUUGUGCACCAAGGAUCGGCCUGCUUCGGCAGCAUCCCUUGAUGCUUGUAAUGCUUCUGGAGGGCGUGUUGCAACCAACCAAAUGACAGCACAUCGAGCUUCGGUGUCUUGCUUGGCUUUGUGUUGUGCGGCACCUCGAUCCAUCUCUGUUUCUUACGGCCUGCCUCCGGGCAAGCCGACUUUUUGACAUGAAGUCAGGUCAGCAAACCCGCUGAAUUUAAGCAUAUAAGUAAGCGGUGGAUAAGAAACUAAACAGGAUUCCCUCAGUAAUGGCGAAUGAACAGGGAUGAGCUCAGCAUUGAAAUCUGGGCCCUCGGCCCUGAAUUGUAAUCUCGAGAUGUGCAACCAACGGAGGCGCAGAUGUAAGCCUCUUGGAAAAGAGCACCAGCGAGGGUGAGAGUCCCGUUCGUCAUUUGCAGUCCCCCGUGUACGGUGUACUUUCUAAGAGUCACGUUCCUCGGGCUUGGAGCGCCAAAGGUGGUAAAUUUCAUCUAAAGCUAAAUAUAGGUUUGAGACCGAUAGCAAACAAGUACCAUGAGGGAAAGAUGAAAAGGACUUUGGAAAGAGAGUUAAAAGUGCCUGAAAUUGCUGAAAGGGAAGCGAAUGGAACCAGUGUUUCUUGGCGAGAUUGUUACACGCUAAAUUGAUGGUCGGUUGCUUCAACGCAAGUGCUGCAGCUGGCUCUGAUAUGGACGUGUGUGGUGCUUCUUGCCUUGCCUGUCAACGUCAAUUUGGAGUUGAGGAAAACUCAAGGGACAUGGUAGUUUGCCCAUGGGCGACCGAACGUGCCUUGCAGAACUCAUCUUUGGAUUGAAGACCUCGUGUCCGGUUGCAACGCCCCCCUCUCUGGCUCUCAGCCUUGGGAAACUCAGCUCGGCAGCGGCCUUCCUUAGGGGGAGCGUUCCUUGACACGAAGAUGGUGACAAAAUGGUUUCACUCGACCCGUCUUGAAACACGGACCAAGGAGUCUAACAUAUGUGCAAGUUCCCGGGUGGCCAAACCUGCUGGCGUAAUGAAAGUGACUGCUGGGAUUUUUGCACCAGCAACCGACCGAUCAACUGUGUGAGGUUUGAGUGUGAGCACAUCUGUUAGGACCCGAAAGAUGGUGAACUAUGCGUGA
rnacentral:rRNA from 1 species